rnacentral:rRNA from 1 species
GACGAACGCUGGCGGCGUGCUUAACACAUGCAAGUCGAACGGAAAGGCCCUGCUUUUGUGGGGUGCUCGAGUGGCGAACGAGUGAGUAACACGUGAGUAACCUGCCCUUGACUUUGGGAUAACUUCAGGAAACUGGGGCUAAUACCGGAUAGGAGCUCCUGCUGCAUGGUGGGGGUUGGAAAGUUUCGGCGGUUGGGGAUGGACUCGCGGCUUAUCAGCUUGUUGGUGGGGUAGUGGCUUACCAAGGCUUUGACGGGUAGCCGGCCUGAGAGGGUGACCGGCCACAUUGGGACUGAGAUACGGCCCAGACGCCUACGGGAGGCAGCAGGGGGGAAUAUUGCACAAUGGGCGGAAGCCUGAUGCAGCAACGCCGCGUGCGGGAAGACGGCCUUCGGGUUGGAAACCGCUUUCGCCUGUGACGAAGCGUGAGUGACGGUAAUGGGUAAAGAAGCACCGGCUAACUACGUG